CAUUAAAUCAGUUAUCGUUUAUUUGAUAGUACCUUACUACUUGGAUAACCGUGGUAAUUCUAGAGCUAAUACAUGCUAAAAACCCCGACUUCGGAAGGGGUGUAUUUAUUAGAUAAAAAACCAAUGCCCUUCGGGGCUCCUUGGUGAUUCAUAAUAACUUAACGAAUCGCAUAGCCUUGUGCUGGCGAUGGUUCAUUCAAAUUUCUGCCCUAUCAACUUUCGAUUGUAUGGUAUUGGCUUACAAUGGUUUCAACGGGUAACGGGGAAUUAGGGUUCUAUUCCGGAGAGGGAGCCUGAGAAACGGCUACCACAUCCAAGGAAGGCAGCAGGCGCGCAAAUUACCCAAUCCCGACACGGGGAGGUAGUGACAAUAAAUACUGAUACAGGGCUCUUUUGGGUCUUGUAAUUGGAAUGAGUACAAUUUAAAUCCCUUAACGAGGAACAAUUGGAGGGCAAGUCUGGUGCCAGCAGCCGCGGUAAUUCCAGCUCCAAUAGCGUAUAUUAAAGUUGUUGCAGUUAAAAAGCUCGUAGUUGAACCUUGGGUUUGGUUGGUCGGUCCGCCUCACCGCGUGCACUGAUCCGACCGAAUCUUUCCUUCUGGGGAACCGUAUGCCCUUCACUGGGUGUGCUGGGGAACCAGGACUUUUACUUUGAAAAAAUUAGAGUGUUCAAAGCAGGCCUAUGCUCGAAUACAUUAGCAUGGAAUAAUAGAAUAGGACGUGUGGUUCUAUUUUGUUGGUUUCUAGGACCGCCGUAAUGAUUAAUAGGGAUAGUCGGGGGCAUCAGUAUUCAAUUGUCAGAGGUGAAAUUCUUGGAUUUAUUGAAGACUAACUACUGCGAAAGCAUUUGCCAAGGAUGUUUUCAUUAAUCAGUGAACGAAAGUUAGGGGAUCGAAGACGAUCAGAUACCGUCGUAGUCUUAACCAUAAACUAUGCCGACUAGGGAUCGGGCGGUGUUAUCUUUUUGACCCGCUCGGCACCUUACGAGAAAUCAAAGUC
rnacentral:rRNA from 2 species